ACUCCUACGGGAGGCAGCAGUGGGGAAUUUUGGACAAUGGGGGCAACCCUGAUCCAGCAAUGCCGCGUGUGUGAAGAAGGCCUUCGGGUUGUAAAGCACUUUUGUCCGGAAAGAAAACUUCGGGGCUAAUACCUCUGGAGGAUGACGGUACCGGAAGAAUAAGCACCGGCUAACUACGUGCCAGCAGCCGCGGUAAUACGUAGGGUGCGAGCGUUAAUCGGAAUUACUGGGCGUAAAGCGUGCGCAGGCGGUUCGCUAAGACCGAUGUGAAAUCCCCGGGCUUAACCUGGGAACUGCAUUGGUGACUGGCGGGCUAGAGUAUGGCAGAGGGGGGUAGAAUUCCACGUGUAGCAGUGAAAUGCGUAGAGAUGUGGAGGAAUACCGAUGGCGAAGGCAGCCCCCUGGGCCAAUACUGACGCUCAUGCACGAAAGCGUGGGGAGCAAACAGGAUUAGAUACCCUGGUAGUCCACGCCCUAAACGAUGUCAACUAGUUGUCGGGCCUUCAUUGGCUUGGUAACGUAGCUAACGCGUGAAGUUGACCGCCUGGGGAGUACGGUCGCAAGAUUAAAACUCAAAGGAAUUGACGG
rnacentral:rRNA from 1 species